rnacentral:lncRNA from 1 species
CAGGCCUUGCUCAGUGGGUUAAGGAUCUGGCAUUGCUGUGAGCUGAGGCAUAGGUCACAGAUGUGAUUUGGAUCCAUUGUUGCUGUGGCUCUAGUGUAGACCAGCCGCUGCAGCUCUGAUUCCACCCCUAGCCCAGGAACUUCCAUGUGCCAUGGUGUGGCCUUAAAAAGAAAAAAAAAAAAAAUCUUCAGAGCUGUUGUUAAUCCCUUUCCCCCUCUGUGUGGAGGAAGUCUACCAGCUGUUGCUACAAUGUGGUGUGAUGGAGGAGAGAGUGAGCCAGCAGCUUUGAGAGCAUCCUAUGAGUCUCAGGGCUUAGCGGUGUCUGAUGUCCCAAAUAUUUCACUGUUAUUUAACCAGGCCUGAGUUGGAUUUUGGUCACUUCCACUGAAGGAAUUGCAAUACAGAAGGCCACAUCACCUCUAGGGCCUCACUGACUCAUUAAUUCAUUAAAAUAAAGAUACUGAUAUAGGUGAUUGCAAAAACUUUCCCAGCUCUGUGAUUCAACUUCUGCUACAAGAAGCAAGAAAUGUGGUCCAGUUUCCUUAGAAAGCUUACAACAUUUUUUGUUUGUUUGUUUUGGGGCCACACCCAAGGCAUAUGGAGGUUCCCAAGCUAGAGGUCCAGUUGGAGCUACAGUUGCUGGCCUACGCCAGAGCCACAGCAACGCCAGAUCUGAGCCACGUCUUCGACCUAUACCACAGCUCACAGCAACUACAGAUCCUUAACCCACUGAGCUAGGUUAGGGAUCAAACCUGCAACCUCAUGGAUGCUAGUUGGAUUUAUUUCCACUGUGCCACGAUGGGAACUCCAGAAAGCUUACAACAAUUUAAGGAUGUUAAAAAAUAUAUAAAAAUUAAAGAAGAAAGAAACCUUGCAAUAAACCUACAAACUAGGCUUUUCCCUCCUCAAAAUCCUGAUAUUCACUCCUCAGGCAAGAAGGCUAGGGUAUAGACAGUGGUUGGGUGCUUAUCCUCUGUCAGGAACUACAAAUAGAUAUAUUUUCUCAUUUCCUUUUUUUUUUUUCUUUUUAAGGCUGCACCCCUAGCAUAUGAAGGUUCACAGGCUAGGGGUCUAGUCAGAGCUGUAGCUGCUGGCCUACGCCACAGCCACAGCAACGCAAGAUCCCAGCCGCAUCUGCGACCUACACUAUAACUCAUGGCAAUGCCGUAUCUUCAACCCACUGAACGAGGCCAGGGAUCAAACCCACGUCCUCAUGGGUGCUAGUUGGGUUUGUUACUGCUGAGCCACAAAGGGAACUCCUUUUCUUAUUUACUUUUCACCAGCUCUUUGAGAGAAGUGUUAGCCCCCUGCCUGUGUUUCACAGAUGAGGAACCCAAGGCUCAUGAAAUUAUAUAACUUGCCCAAGACCACAGGGUUAGUGAGACAGGGGAUUUGAAUCCAGAUCUGUAUGACUCAGCCCUGGCUUCUCUUCUUUGUCACAAAUAAUCCCACCAGAAUUUUUAUGUUAGUCAGAAGUAGGCGCCCACGGCACUGGCCUGAUUCUGGAGGCAGAAGUCUGACAGGCUCUGCCAACACUGAGUUCGUCUUCAGCCAUUCUCCAGGCUAUGCAGUCCAAAAAUGUUACGUUUUUUUUAGUCUCCGAAGCAAUUCUUAAGCAGCUGAGUUCUUUUUGAACUGGCUUUUGAAGAUCCGUCUCCCAUCUGCUGGCUGACAGUUUCUAUCAUGUCUUAAGACCCUGCCUGGACUCAAGCUUCAAACUUGGGUGGGACGUGGCAGGAGUUUAAAAACUCUGGGGAGAAGGACAGCAGCCCCCUCUGAGGGUUGUGCACCAGACCUCCAACAAGACCCUAAGGAGGACAGGGAGUGGUCCCAAUCCUAACAGCCGUGAGUGCUCACGGAGCCUCUGCUGUGUUCCAGGCGCUUUGGAUAGCUUGGCUGGUCCUUACAAUCAUUCUGAAAGAGUCUCGCCCCCACUUCACAGGUGACAAAGUACAGGCUCAACGAAGUGAAAUAACUUGCUUGGAUGCUAAACGCUUCCAAAGUGCAUGUUCGUUCUGACACCAUCAGAGGUGCCAGGAGAUGCCUGGGGAUUCCUGCGUAGGUGAAGAUUACCCCUUGCCCAAGGCAGAGCCAGGCUUCACCAUCUGGAGCAGGCGAGUCAGGCAGGGGCGGGGUCUGUGCCUCUGUGGGUGGGAGAUCUGGAACACAACUAAGGCCUCUCCUUGUCCACUGAUGUCUCCUGCUUCCUUGUGGCUUUGACCACCAUCAGUCAUGUCAAUACAAUACCUGGAACAUACGAAGGAGCCACUGCUUUGGGGGAAUGUGCUCAGAGCAUAGAUGCCUUUUGGUUCCUCACAGCCAGAGGGUAUAAAGUCCUUCAGGUCUCAGAGUUUGGUCUGGACCCAGUUGUUCACCUUUGGGACAUGGAGCCAGAAAGACCCUUCGGUCCCUCCACCAGCCUCCUGUGGAGCUAUCCAAGGUCCUGCAAGUGUUCUGACCUGUGCUCCCUGUAAUCAACUGACCCUCCGCCUUUCUAUCUGUGUCCUUGGCCUUCUGGCCUUCCCUGAAUUUGGACCCCACCAAAGUUUGUCCAUCUGAUUUUUAGGACUAUCCCCUUUCACUCAUUUUCUAGGUUCUGCUGACCUUAGCUCACUGACCUCCCCGCCAGUCCAGGGCCCCCUCUUAGCUACCGUUGUCCAUGCUGAUAAUCAACUGACCCAACUGUCCAGCACUGCAUGCCACUCUGUCUCCCACCUCCUCCCAGAGCUACUGGUUUCUUGAAUGGUUGUUCCUUGGAAUCUGGUUGACUUCUAAGAGACACCCAAUUUACUGAUUUUGUUCAUUCUUCUUUCUUGACCCUGUAACCAGCCACGUAUGAAAUGUUUCCUGGCAUUAGAGCAGUGAGAAUAGUCUCAUUCAGUAAAGUCCAUGCCUUGAGGAGGCCUGCAGCUCUGUCCUGUCAUGUGGUUACAUUUAUUCUAUGUAUCUUGAAACAGCAAAUUGAUUCUUUCAAGAGAAUUAAUUAGGAAGCAAGCUUCCGUUAAAAUGUGCCAUUCUGCUCUCUUGAGAGCCGGAGCUCUGGUGUUCUGGUCUCAGCAUUGCUCCUGACCAUCUGUGUGACCUUGGGCAAGGCACAUAAACCAGGCAGCCCUUUGUAUCUCCUGUCGUUCAUUUGCUUUCUUGUCAAACUUUUACUCACCAUGCAUCAUGCCCCAGGCACUAGGCUAGGUGCUGGGGAUGCUCCAAGGAGAAAGAUGCCGUUUCUGUCUUCAAGGAACUUACAGUCUAAUCUGGGAGACCAAUAUGCAUAUGGUUAAAAUAAGGUAAUGUAAUAAAUCAUUCCAACGAGAGGAACAAUGUGCCGAGGGUACACAGAUGCCAGAUCUGCCCUUGCUGUUCCCUCUGCGUGGUAGGCUUUUCUCUCAGACACGUGCAUGACUCACAUCCUCACUUUUGCAGAUCUUUGGUCAAUGUUAUGUUAUCAGAGAGACCUUCCCUGACCACCCUAUUUGAAAUAGGAACCCCACCCCUGGCCUGCCACCUCCCUGUGUCUCUCUUCUGCUUUUUUUUUUUUUCCCAUAGGAUUUAUUAUCCCCUGGCAGGAAAUAAUCCCCCAGCUGUGAGUUGGAGGAUUCAGCUAAUAAUCCCAGUAGUGGGUUGAAUGGUGUCCCCAAAAUAUACAUUUAUGUCCUCGCUCCAGAACAUGCAAAUGUGACCUUAUUUGGAAAAAAGGGUCUUAAGAUGUACUUAAGGAUCUUAAGAGGAAGUCAUCCUAGAUUUCCGCUGGGUAAACUAAACUUAAUGACAACCAUCCUUUCAAGAGAUGGAAGAGGAAACACAGACACACAGAGGAGAAGACAGAAGCAGAGAUUGGAGCAAUGCAGACACCAGCCAAGGAAGGAUUCUCUCCUAGAGACUUCAGGGAGCAUAAUCCUGCCAACACCUUGACUUUAGACUUCCGGCCUCCACAACCCUAAGAGAAUAAAUUUCUGUUGUUUUAAGCCACCAAGUUUGUGAUCAUUUGUUAUGGCAGCCUCAGCAUAUGAUGCAAUCUCUGUAUAUCCUAUGGUCAUCUUCAGGCCAAACCAUCUGAAACCUGAAUCAGAGUUAUGGCUGUGAGAUUGUCAUUUAAAAAUGCCAACAUUUUCAAAGACUCUCAUCAGCGGUAUUUGUGGAAGUAGACACAACUUGGGAAGAACAUCAGGUGUUGUCGGUCCUUUCCUAUGCACAGUGCUGGGCACACAUAUAGAGCAAGGGGUGCUCUCUUGCUGUUUCCAGAAUAAGGAAGAUGCAUGAUCAUCUGGCCCCAGUGGGGAGAUGAAAACCACCAGCCUUGCUAGAAAAAAGGUAAUAAAAGUGACACAUUUUAAUUAUAACAUGACUUGUAACAAAAAAGAAAUGAACAAGGACCCAAAUUUCUGCAAGUAAACAGUUAUAGAAUGUGUACUACAGCUGCACUGUGGAAAGGCCAUGUAAACAUCUCUGUUCUACUUCGGAUGUGUGAGGACAGUAUAUGAGCCCGUCCAGUGUAUCACUGGAGUUUAUUAGAAACAUACACUACUGCUGAAUGUCCCCACAGAGGCACGUAAAUCCUCUGAAAAGACCUCUAGGGACACAGUUCAGCUGAUGGCACUGAUUACACUGGGGAGGAGGCAGGAUUGAGAAGUGUUCAAGGGGAUUUUCACUUCAUCUGCUUGUCUCAAUCUUUUUACAAUGACUUGAGCCAUUAAGUUCUUUUAUUUAAAGAUUUAUCAUUGUAUUGCGCUUAUGAUACAAGGAUAAUCAAUUUAACAUGUGAAUAAAAAUAUUUUUUAAACAAACAAAUAGAGAAGAAAGGAGCCCAGCUGAGAGUGUGUCACCGCGAUUACUGGCUUUGUAGCCAGCUUCGAGGUGGAUGGCGGAGGAGUGGUGGAGUGGGAUCUGUGGUUCUCUGAGGCUCCAGCUUAUAAACGGAUGCUUCUACUGCGAGUUCUUGUCUGCUUCCUCGUCAUCCUGAUGGGGCCUUGACGUGAAAUCUGUGAACAGACGCAGCCCUAGAACCUUGUGUUCCAGACACAGAGCGCUGACCUGGCAGACCCUGAGACGUGUCCCUUUAACACCACUCCCGCAGCCCGGAGGCAGGGCCUUCGGUGCCCUCCUCCAGCCUGUCGGUGAGGAUCAGCCAGCCACAGCCCCACCCGGCCCACCCCACCUCCUCGGCCAACCAGGUUCAGAGUGGAAGCAUCGCCUCUGACCUUGUGGUGGGUGUGAACCAGAGGCCAGCAGAGGGCCUCGGAGAGAAUGGACGCCACUGCGCACGCGCUGCUCUUGUUCCCGCCCCACCCCCAUCCCAAGGGCUCAACCAGGGAGGCAGCCUUUCUGGUCCCAAGAACACAGGACGCCUGGGACCAUUGGGACGAGGAAAAGGACCCGGGCUGUCACACGGUGGGAGAAUCCUAAAAUUAUGUGUUUACUAAUGUAAAUUAGUUCUUUUUUUAAUGCAAAGGAGAAAAUGGACUAAGACUUUAGGGCUUCUUCAGCGGAACAGAUAAGGCUCAUUUAUAACCAAUGUAUGUUGUUGAUAAGCCAAAUGAUACAAU